UACGGAGGGUGCGAGCGUUGUCCGGAAUCACUGGGCGUAAAGGGCGCGUAGGCGGCCUGCUAAGUCGAACGUGAAAUCCCUGGGCUCAACCCAGGAACUGCGUCCGAUACUGGUUGGCUUGAAUCCGGGAGAGGGAUGUGGAAUUCCAGGUGUAGCGGUGAAAUGCGUAGAUAUCUGGAGGAACACCGGUGGCGAAGGCGACAUCCUGGACCGGUAUUGACGCUGAGGCGCGAAAGCCAGGGGAGCAAACGGG
rnacentral:rRNA from 1 species